rnacentral:rRNA from 1 species
AUUGAACGCUGGCGGCAGGCCUAACACAUGCAAGUCGAACGAGUGGCGGACGGGUGAGUAAUGUCUGGGAAACUGCCUGAUGGAGGGGGAUAACUACUGGAAACGGUAGCUAAUACCGCAUACCAUCGGAUGUGCCCAGAUGGGAUUAGCUAGUAGGUGGGGUAAAGGCUCACCUAGGCGACGAUCCCUAGCUGGUAUGAGAGGAUGACCGUCCAAGCGGGAACUGAGACACGGGCCAGACUCCGACGGGAGGAAGCAGUGGGGAAUAGUGCACAAUGGGCGCAAGCCUGAUGCAGCAAUGCCGCGUGUAUGAAUAAGGCCUUCGGGUUGGAAAGUACUUUCAGCGGGGAGGCGUUACCCGCAGAAGAAGCACCGGCUAACUCCGUGCCAGCAGCCGCGGUAAUUC